UGGUCCCCUAUCUGUACUAUUCUAGACCCUUUGGAGUGGUCCCCUAUCUGCACUAUUCUAGACCCUUUGGAGUGGUCCCCUAUCUGCACUAUUCUAGACCCUUAGAGUGGUCCCCUAUCUGCACUAUUCUAGACCCUUUGGAGUGGUCCCCUAUCUGCACUAUUCUAGACCCUUGGAGUGGUCCCCUAUCAGCACUGUUCUAUACCCUUGGAGUGGUUAACAAACAAAUCUUUGGAUGCUACAGUACAUGGGCUCUUUGCUAUCUUUCCCAUAUUUCCUUCAUGACUCUAACCCUUUAGCACGAGGGCGUCAAACUCCACGAAGGGCCCUGUUUUUGGGGUUUUUCCCUUCGUUUAAGACCUAGACGACCAGGUGAGGGGAGUUCCUUACUAAUUAGUGACCUACAGUACCAGGUGAGGGGAGUUCCUUACUAAUUAGUGACCUAGACUACCAGGUGAGGGGAGUUCCUUACUAAUUAGUGACCUAGACGACCAGGUGAGGGGAGUUCCUUACUAAUUAGUGACAUUAAUCAAUCAAGCACAAGGGUGGAGCGAAAUUCAAUUCAAAGGGCUUUAUUGAGAAACAUAUGUUAACAUUGCCAAAGCAAGUAAUAUAGAUAAUAAACAAAAGGGAAAUAAACAAUAAAAAAUGUACAGUAAACUUUACACUCACAGAAGUUCCAAAAGAGUAAAGACAUUUCAAAUGUCAUUGUCUAUAUACAGUCUUGUAACGAUGUGCAAAUAGUUAAAGUACUAAAGGGAAAAUAAAUAAAAACAGAUAUAGGUUGUUACAGUGGUGUUUGUUCUUCACUGGUUGACAUCAUGCUGCUGUGACUGCCAAAUAGCUUUUUAGUUUGCUCAGUUUUUUUUUCUCUCCAAUAUGUCAAGUAAUUAUCUUUUUAUUUUUCUCAUGAUUUGGUUGGGUCUAAUUGUGUUGCUGUCCUGGGGCUCUGUGGGGUCUAUUUGUGUUAUUGGCAUGGGAAACAUAUGUUUACAUUUCCAAGGC
rnacentral:lncRNA from 1 species